GGUGUCCCGCGUGCAGGCGCGGGUAUCAACGGGAAGACCGGUGCAGCCGCUGCUGAGCGGCGAGUCCGGCGCUGCCCCCGCAACGGUAGGUGGGGAGCGGAUCGAGGAGGCCACUGCGAGGCCACGUCGUGCGGCGGCGGGCCUGGCGGGAAGGCGAUCCGCAGAGGGCCCUCGGCGGGCCACCCACGAGCCCGGAGACCGGCCUGAGG
rnacentral:ncRNA from 1 species